rnacentral:rRNA from 1 species
ACGGGUGAGUAAUGCUUGGGAAUCUGGCUUAUGGAAGGGGGUAACGACGGGAAACUGUCGCUAAUACCGCGUAGAGUCGAGAGACGAAAGUGUGGAACCUUCGGGCCACAUGCCAUAGGAUGAGCCCAAGUGGGAUUAGGUAGUUGGUGGGGUAAAGGCCUACCAAGCCGACGAUCUCUAGCUGGUCUGAGAGGAUGGCCAGCCACACCGGGACUGAGACACGGCCCGGACUCCUACGGGAGGCAGCAGUGGGGAAUAUUGCGCAAUGGGGGGAACCCUGACGCAGCCAUGCCGCGUGAAUGAAGAAGGCCUUCGGGUUGUAAAGUUCUUUCGGUAUUGAGGAAGGUGAUGUGUUAAUAGCACAUCAAAUUGACGUUAAAUACAGAAGAAGCACCGGCUAACUCCGUGCCCCCCGCCGCGGUAAUACGGAGGGUGCGAGCGUUAAUCGGAAUAACUGGGCGUAAAGGGCACGCAGGCGGACUUUUAAGUGAGGUGUGAAAUCCCCGGGCUUAACCUGGGAAUUGCAUUUCAGACUGGGGGUCUAGAGUACUUUAGGGAGGGGUAGAAUUCCACGUGUAGCGGUGAAAUGCGUAGAGAUGUGGAGGAAUACCGAAGGCGAAGGCAGCCCCUUGGGAAUGUACUGACGCUC